AUGCAUUGGCUGUCCUGGGAGAAACUUGCAACUCCGAAAAUUUAUGGUGGUAUGGGCUUUCGUGAUCUCCAGCUGUUUAAUCUUGCGCUUUUGGGCAAACAUGGAUGGAGAUUCAUCACAAACCCCAACUCAUUGUGUGCACGGGUAAUGACGGGACGUUACUUCCCUGAUUCUGAUUUUAUGGAGGCUACUGUUCCGCAAUCGGCCUCGGCCAUCUAGCGAGCCAUAGUGGCUGGAAGAGGAGCGCUCCAAACGGGGUUGAUCAAGAGGGUUGGAGACGGCAGUUCUAUCUCUAUUUGGAACGAUCAGUGGAUACCUGGUCUGUCAACCCUUACCCCAACGCUCAUGCCAGGAGGAACCACACUGGCUAAUGUUAAUGAGUUGAUUGAUACAGAAAAUUGGACUUGGCGACGGGAGCUAAUCCGGGAUACUUUCAUAGCCCCUGAUGCCGAUGCAAUUCUAAAUAUCCCACUAUGA
rnacentral:rRNA from 1 species